rnacentral:rRNA from 1 species
UACGUAGGGUGCAAGCGUUGUCCGGAAUUAUUGGGCGUAAAGAGCUCGUAGGCGGUUUGUUGCGUCGGCUGUGAAAACCUGAGGCUCAACCUCAGGCCUGCAGUCGAUACGAGCAGACUAGAGUGUUGCAGGGGAGACUGGAAUUCCUGGUGUAGCGGUGAAAUGCGCAGAUAUCAGGAGGAACACCGGUGGCGAAGGCGGGUCUCUGGGCAUUAACUGACGCUGAGGAGCGAAAGCAUGGGGAGCGAACAGG